rnacentral:rRNA from 1 species
UGAGGAAUAUUGGACAAUGGAUGGAAAUCUGAUCCAGCCAUGCCGCGUGCAGGAAGACGGCCCUAUGGGUUGUAAACUGCUUUUGUAUGGGAGCAAUAAGGACUACGUGUAGUUUGAUGAGAGUACCAUACGAAUAAGCAGCGGCUAACUCCGUGCCAGCAGCCGCGGUAAUACGGAGGAUGCGAGCGUUAUCCGGAUUUAUUGGGUUUAAAGGGUGCGUAGGCGGCGAUAUAAGUCAGUGGUGAAAUAUUUCGGCUUAACCGAGAGACUGCCAUUGAUACUGUGUUGCUAGAAUAUGGUUGCUGUCAGUGGAAUGUGUGGUGUAGCGGUGAAAUGCUUAGAUAUCACACAGAAUAUCGAUUGCGAAGGCAGCUCACAAAGCCAUUAGUGACGCUGAGGCACGAAAGUGUGGGGAUAAAA